rnacentral:rRNA from 1 species
UGCGUAGGCGGUGCUCUAAGUCUGUUGUGAAAUCUCCCGGCUUAACUGGGAGGGUGCGGCGGAAACUGGAGUGCUUGAGGGUGGGAGAGGUAAGCGGAAUUCCUGGUGUAGCGGUGAAAUGCGUAGAUAUCAGGAGGAACACCUGUGGUGUAGACAGCUUACUGGACCACUUCUGACGCUGAGGCACGAAAGCGUGGGUAGCAAACA